GGAGAUAUAAUUACAUGCAGGAGGAAAGGGGGAUUCUGCAACUUUGGGAAGUGCCAAUACCCAACAAGAGCUGUUGGCAGAUGUUCAUCAGUCCAAGUGUGCUGCAUUAGUCGCUUUGGAUGAAACCCUGAAAUUCCUAAGAAGAACCUCCCCCUCGCUUCUGGCUGCUGGACCCAUCUGCUGAUGUCCCCAUCUCCUCCUGAUGUCCCCUGCCCUGUGUGCCUGUGCCGUGCCCAGCUGGGCUGACAGCAGCAGUGGCAGCUGCUCCUGCUGGGUGCUGCUGGGCUGGAGCCCUGUGGUGCCAGCCCCGGUGUCUUUGGGGCAGGGGCUGCUUUUCCUGGCUUGAAUAAAGAUGAGCACUUUGGCAUUGCA